rnacentral:rRNA from 1 species
UACGUAGGGUGCAAGCGUUUAAUCGGAAUUACUGGGCGUAAAGCGUGCGCAGGCGGUUGUGCAAGACAGAUGUGAAAUCCCCGGGCUCAACCUGGGAAUUGCAUUUGUGACUGCACGGCUAGAGUGUGUCAGAGGGGGGUAGAAUUCCACGUGUAGCAGUGAAAUGCGUAGAUAUGUGGAGGAAUACCGAUGGCGAAGGCAGCCCCCUGGGAUAACACUGACGCUCAUGCACGAAAGCGUGGGGAGCAAACAGG